ACAACAACAAAACACUGGGCCAGCAUCAAGAGAUGACAUAGCUCCCCAAAUUAUGACAGACUAUGCAGACAUCAAAAUCAAUCUGGUUGUCUCUGUUGUAGGGUUGGAUUAACAAAAAGAAGGGAACAGUUGCAGCCCAUUUCCUGCAUGGGCCUGUGUGUGCUGGCUCCUAAAGUACUGACUCCAGCUGAAGUCAACACCUUGUGAUUCAUGAACUUCCUCACCCUCACGUUGCACUGGAGGCCGCCUACUUCCUGUGCGACUGGAGCUGUAGUACUUUGUCCUGAUUUUCCUGACUCAACACAACGGAGUCUGUUUAAAAAAAAAAAAAUAGAGUUGAAUUCAAAUUUGUAGACUGCUUGAAAAAUUGUGAAAAUGAACCAGCUUUUUUUCCCCCCCAAAGCGGAUUAUAAUACCUCGAAGACAAUCAAGGACGCUCCAUCCACCCCCUCCUGACCUCCACUCCUCUCUUUUUUUCUGCCCCAAAGGCUUCCCCUCCCCGAGUCCCUCUGAGUGUGGAAUCUCCCUAAAUUCAACAGCUGCUCACAGGCAAAACAAACAGUAAAGCCGAAAAGCAGAGCACCGGGGUGUGCCGAUAAUUGUUAAAGAGGUGAUUACAUCAGUGACAGUAUAUCAGUAACCGCCCAACAGGAAGAAGCAACGCAAUGUUGCUUUGAAAGAGUUGUAACGUUUAUUCAUUUUAACCCAAUUAAUUCUGGUUCACGGGAAAUUCAAACAAAUAUUGUGCAAUUAUGUUAUUAGUAAAAGCAGAUGACUGGUUUCUAUAGGUAUAACAGGAGUUGAGAUAAUUGAGACAAUUCUUUGUCUGUUUCUUAUAUUUUUGUAAAAAAAACAACAACAAAAAAAAAACACACCUAAAAGUUUCUAAUCAGUGAAUUUAAGUAAAAAACAAAACACUUUGUCACACUAGUACAUGUAAAAUAUACUACUCCAUGCUUGGUUGUGUUUUUAGUCGUGAAUCACCCAAUGAGGUACAUAAAGUAGAAGGCGUAGGUUUCUUUAUAUCCAACAGGGGGCGCUGUUGCGUUCUCUUUUAAAUUAAGUAUUCCCUUUUUUUUACGGACUCAUUAUUUGAACAAAAAACUCCACAUAAAUAGCAUUCAUUUAUUCAUUCCUUUAAUUCAAGCAUUCGCUACUGAAAACCAGCCAAACACACGAAGCAUAAACUUGUAAUAUAAACCCCAAAAUCUUGAUAUCAGACUAUUGAUGAAGGCUUGCUGCAUAACAUUUCACACAGAUUCCCCCACCCCCCCCAAAAAAUAUUCACGUUCAUGCAUGCGGAUUAAAAAGUUUUAUUUACUUACUCAAAAAUCUGAGACAUUUCUUUAUUUCAGACUUGGAAAAAUACAACACUGUUUAAAGACACUGAAAUUAUUCCACUUAGAGAAACACUUUUUAAAAAAGAUUACCUUAAAGCACCUUUGGUAAUUGCAGGAGUGUUUGCAAUGGACAAAAAUCCCUGUAGUCUCUUUUUUAGACAUUUACAGUGCUUUGCAAAACUAUUCAUACCCUUGACACCUUUUCACGUUUUCUUCUAUUUUUCACAUUUUAUAUCCAACACAGAGCAGCACAUACAUGUGAGAAGGGGGUAAAGAUAUGUGAUUUUUAAAUAUUUUCUAUCAAAUAAAAAUCUGAAAGGCGUGUUGUCUUUAACCCUUUUUAAUCUGGCACCCCUAAAUGAAAUCCAUGACCACCAGUUGCCUUGAAAACUCAACUGAUUUGUAAAAAGAGGUUACAUGUGCGUCAUUUUAUUUAUAAGUGCAGUCGUUGCGUGAAGGACUCGGCACCAUGAAGACCAAGGAACAACAACUCCUAAACAUCCAGCCUGAGCUACAAGGGAAUGGGUUAGAUCAAUAGAUAUUUGUGUGUUAGAAUGGCCCAAUCAAAGCCCAGACCUACGUUCACUGUGCAGUAAUUAUUUUGUAAAA